UUUUUCUUGAAACACCUGGGGUGAGGAUAAUCCUCUGCAUCGGCCAAGCAGAAGGAACAGUCGGUUUUUUCCACCAUUGAUCUUCUCAUUAGCCUUUGAUACAAGUCUGUAAGACAUCAGGCUGUAGAACCUCUGUUUCAAUGAAUGCCAAAGAGAAUGCCGCAGAGUAAGCCUGAAGACGCAUCUGUCCUCCAUGCUUGUGUCUCACAGUCCAAGGGGGAAGAAUUAGAUCUGCUCACCUCCCACUCUGGGGGCUGGGGAUCUGUGACCGAAGUGGAUCAGUCAGGAGGGGCUCCUCGCAGAGUAAAGGGAAGCACUUUUCACCCUGUUUUAGAGUGAGAAGUUGAUUCAUGAUUUACAAGACAUGGGCUGUGGCACGUCAUCUUCAAUGAAAGACAAGAAAUCUG